rnacentral:lncRNA from 1 species
GGCGACCAAGGACUACCAGGAAGGGGAGCGGCUGGGAUGGCGCGUCCGCGGCCCCGCGAGUACAAAGCGGGCGACCUGGUCUUCGCCAAGAUGAAGGGCUACCCGCACUGGCCGGCCCGGAUUGAUGAACUCCCAGAGGGCGCUGUGAAGCCUCCAGCAAACAAGUAUCCUAUCUUCUUUUUUGGCACCCAUGAAACGUAAGUUAGCAAAAAUAGUUUCAACAGCUCUAGCUUGACUCUGCUAUGCUACAUUGUUAUGGAUGAUCUCUGACAUCUUACGUCUUAUUAAAAUCAUUAUAAUCAGUUAUAUAAAAUUGCCAAAGUUAAUAAUGUAUUUUUGUUAAUGUAAAUAGUUUUCAUGAUAGAAGUCUUUAUGACUAAAAGCGUAUCUUUGCUUUUGAAUGUCAUUUGUGUUUCUGCUUAAAUG